CCCAACUCUCUCACUAUCUCUCUUCACCACUAAAGGAUUCUGCGUGUUGCAUGUUGUGAUCCUCUUCCUCUUAGCAGCAAAAGCUUAGACUCUUUAAGGGUCUCCUUCUUCUCUCUUCUUCGAUGUUACAGGCAGAACAUCUCUAGGAAGCUGAAGCUGAAAGGUUGUAUGCGAAUGUUGCAUGAGGGGAUAAAGAUGAGAUUUGGCGUUGUUACUGACUGGUGACUGGUGAACGAGAAUGUAAUGAUUCAUAAGGAAAUGUUCUUACAAUGACCUCACUGUCCUAAGAUGUUUUGGAUAGAAAGGAGAAUUAUUGGACCAUUUUGGAUUGCUACCGGACGUGAUGGGAUGAAGUCAGGAGUUCAAGACCGAUCAGUCCUUACUUACGAGCAUUUGGUCCCCAUUCUUUCAGAAAAAAUAUCUUUAUAUUGAUCCAGGACGACAAGAGAAGCCUGGACAGAUCGUUCCCAUACCCGAUACAUUUUUUUUAAACUGGCUUUUUAGGAUUUUAUCUUGAUAUUUAAGUAGAGCCUCGAUUUCUAAAGAUAAAACUUUUAUUCGAGACGACUUUUCUGCUAUAUGUAAGUUUGGGGAGACAAUUUUUACU